rnacentral:lncRNA from 1 species
GCUUUAUGUUGGGAUAAUACAAGGAAUGAUAAAUGGAGUAGGAAGAAAUAGUUACAACAUAAGAGCGGAGAAAAGAGUGGAAGAACUGAGAAUAAUGGCUAUGAAGGAAUUGCAGACACGCUUCAAAGGGAAGAAGGUGAGACCAAUUGCUAGUGUUGUUGAAGAGUGUUUUGUGCCUCGAUCACAAUGUGACCUUGUUUAGAUUUUAGUUGAACUAAUAAUUGUAGUGCACUAGUGCUACAUUUUACCUUUCCGUGCCUAGCUCGAUCGAUGUUUUGACCAUAAGUAUAUUUCACCUUAUAAUUGUACUAUCAAUUCUUUUAUAGAAACUUUAUAAUUAAAUGAAGUAAUUAAAGCAAAAGAAAAGGCAAAACAAACAAAUAAUUGGACGCCUUUAAA